UGCCAUGGUUGCAAUGAUUGGGGUUGGUUUGAUUUUUCUGUUUUACAGGUUUCAGUGGAGGUGGUACGCGGUGAUUACCAAGGUUAUGAUGGCUGGGUUAGGGCUUGCAUGACCAAAAGGAAAUUGAGGAAUUGGGAGGAUGAAUUUAGAGGUUGUAAAAAUAUCAAAGCUUUGAUGUUGAGGAAGGGAUAACCUGAAAACCAGGUGCUUUCGAAAGAUAAAAUGAAGAGCUUCAUGGAAGGCUGGCCAUGGGAAGUCAAAACAGAGUAACCACUUUACUCUGUAAAACCACUUUCCCAGCGGAACUUUUCCCUCUUCCGCGCCAUCAUAUCCCUGCUUGUUCGUCACUCCCCGACACCACUCUCCUCACUCAAAGCCUUUGAAGAAAACAAAAUCCCUAAAUUUUAACAUCAGAAAAGGAUUAUUUUUCAAUUUGAUAUUAUGUAAGGAGUGGUGGGAUGGAAAAUCUGAAUCGAGGUGUUCAUCUUCUCUCGUGUGUUCGUCUCCUAUAUUCACUGAUAAAAUCCCUAAUUCCAUUUCUCUAACCCUAUUUAACAAUCCUAAGAAAUUCUUAAUAUUAUUAAUUCAAUUUUGUCUCAAGUCAAAAACUAUUAAUUUAAAUAAAAAUUCCAUGUAAAUUAACAAUUUUAUAUUAGUGAUUAAGUGUAAAUCAUGUCAACAAAUUUUAACGUUGUUUGUCAACCCUUAACGAAAAAAGUUUAAUUA
rnacentral:sRNA from 1 species